rnacentral:rRNA from 1 species
AGAGUUUGAUCAUGGCUCAGGAUGAACGCUGGCGGCGCACUUAAGACAUGCAAGUCGAACGAAGAUAAACGCUUAACAAGUCAACUAGUUUACUAGGAGAUGAGUUAUUGUUUAUUUUAGUGGCGGACGGGUGAGUAACACGCAGGCAAUCUGCCUUUCAGUGGGAAAUAACUAAGAGAAAUUUUAGCUAAUGUCCCAUAAGACCACAUCAUGGCAUCAUGGAGAGGUCAAAGGAGUAAUCCGCUGAAAGAUGAGCCUACGUCUGAUUAGUUAGUUGGCGUGGUAAUGGCACACCAAGACGAUGAUCAGUAGCCGAGCUGAGAGGCUGGCCGGCCACAUUGGGACUGAGAUACGGCCCAAACUCCUACGGGAGGCAGCAGUUGGGAAUAUUGGACAAUGGACGAAAGUCUGAUCCAGUGACGCCGCGUGAAGGAAGAAGGUCUUCGGAUUGUAAACUUAUUUUGUCAGGGAAGAAAUAAAUGACUGUACCUGAAGAAGAAGGACCGGCAAACUACGUGCCAGCAGCCGCGGUAAUACGUAGGGUCCAAGCGUUAUCCGGAUUUACUGGGUGUAAAGGGCGAGUAGACGGCGUUACAAGUCAGAUGUGAAAACUUGGGGCUCAACCUCAAGACUGCAUCUGAAACUGUAAUGCUAGAGUGCAGGAGAGGAAAGUGGAAUUCCUAGUGUAGCGGUGAAAUGCGUAGAUAUUAGGAGGAACACCAGUGGCGAAGGCGACUUUCUGGACUGUAACUGACGUUGAGGCGCGAAAGUGUGGGGAGCAAACAGGAUUAGAUACCCUGGUAGUCCACACUGUAAACGAUGGAUACUAGGUGUAGGCACUAACGUGUCUGUGCCGGCGCAAACGCAAUAAGUAUCCCACCUGGGGAGUACGGCCGCAAGGUUGAAACUCAAAGGAAUUGACGG